rnacentral:rRNA from 1 species
UACGUAGGGGGCAAGCGUUGUCCGGAAUUAUUGGGCGUAAAGAGCGUGUAGGCGGUCCGGUAAGUCAGCUGUGAAAGUCAAGGGCUCAACCCUUGAAUGCCGGUUGAUACUGCCGGGCUAGAGUCCGGAAGAGGCGAGUGGAAUUCCUGGUGUAGCGGUGGAAUGCGCAGAUAUCAGGAGGAACACCAAUAGCGAAGGCAGCUCGCUGGGACGGUACUGACGCUGAGGCGCGAAAGCGUGGGGAGCGAACAGG